CCUGCCCCUAGAGGUGUAGCAGGUGUGGCUGCUGUGUCACAUGAGUGUCAGUGGGUGGCUGAGAGGAGAGAGGCUGUGUCUAUUCUCAGUGUUCCGACCUGUGAAGACCUGAAUGAUCAGUAACCGAACAGU
ensembl:snoRNA